AUUUUCAAGGCGCGUGUAAAAGAGUUCGAUGAUGCGCUGGCCCAGGAUGUGGUUGACCUAAAGGAGCUGCGCAGACUGACGUUUAAUGGUGUGCCCGAUGUACAAAGCUUCCGUGCACUCAGCUGGAAACUGCUGUUGGGCUACUUGGGACCAAG